UUUCAAGCAUUUCUUUAAUAUCACUGACUCACUAUACUAAAUAGGAUUUUUUGUGCAUCAUAAAAGAAAAAAAACUGCUAAUGUCAGAAUCAUAGCGGGCUAAAUAAGAACAGAUGUUAGUAAAAUUUCGUUCUCAUUCAAAAAAAAAAAAGUAAAACCAAAUGUGUUUAUCUGUAUUUGGUAAUUUAAAUAUUUCAAAUACAUGUUAUUCUUUUUUAUUUUGAAAAUUCUAAAUCCUUCCUGAUUUUUCUUUAACUGUUCCCACCCUUCCUCCUACAACAAUUCUAUAUUUAUUGUUACUCCUACUUGAUAAAAUGUGCUAGCUUCCAAAGUGUUUCUUUCUCAUUUGUUUCUGUGUUUCAUGCUGUUUGUUAGUCAUUAAAAUUUCUUGUGCCUCUAUACGUAUAAAAAUUUACUUAGAGAGUCUGCAUUAUCAUGCUCUCUGAAAUAAUUCUGGAUAAGAGAAUAGCCAACUUACAUUUCUUAAUAGCAACUUCAAAAUAAAAUACUAUUCCAUUUAAAAAAUCAAUAAAUUCAAUAUUUUAUACAUGAAAAUGUUAGAUUAAAUAGGUUUUGUUGUUGUUGUUGUUUUUAAUUGCUGUUUAGGGCUGCACUCAUUGCAUAGAGACGUUGCCAGGCUAGGGGCCGAAUCAGAGCUACAGCUGCUGGCCCACACUAUAACCACAGCAAUGCGGGAAGCAAGCCGCAUCUGUUACACCACGGCUAUCUGAAAUAGGAUCCCCGACCCACUGAGCAAGGCCAGGGAUCAAACCCACAUCUUCAUGGAUACCAGUCAGAAUCAUUUCCACUGUGCCACAACAGGAAACUCCUAGAUUAAAUAGUUUUUGUUUCAUAUUAUUUUAAUUUGGCCAGAAAAUUAUAUGCGUGUUCCUGAAAUUUUCUUCAGCAUUAUUUACUUUGAAUACAACUCUAAGGAAGAGAGAAGAGACACCAGUAACCAUUCAGCUCUGGCAAUAUUAUGUUUAUAAUUGCAUGAGUGAAAGUAGAAAUAUCCUGAGUAUUCAUUCAGAAAUAACACACCAGAAAUAUUCAUAGCAAAUAAUCAACAUAAAAAAAUAAUACCGAUGGUUAUCCCUAUGUCCAGAAUUGUCCCAGUAAUCAUGUAAUAUAUUUAUUGUUCAUCCUUAAUAAAAUAUGGUGAGUGUAUUUAGUCAGCAGUUUUCUUCCUAUUUUGAGUGGCAGCAGUUAAGCCAAUAGCAUGAUUGGUUCAUAUAUAAGGGGGAUGAUUGGAAGAAAAUAUAAUAAUUUAAAAUCAAUUUCAUUUAAAACCAAUAUGAAAGGCAAGUCAUGAAAUGAAGAAUGUUUAUAAAGACACAUUUGCCAAAUUCACAUUCAAAAAUUUAAUGAUCCUUAAGCAAUAGGACAGCCAUGGCUUUUUAAAGUAUUUUUACAUCUUUGAAUGUAUUGUAAUAAGCAAACCUUUGCUUAAAUCUAGUUUAAAAAUAAACUAAUAAAAACGGAAACAUUCUUCAUAUGGAAACAUACUUCAUACCUAACAAAAUUAAAAUUAGAAGUAUAAUUAUAGUUAGCAUAGAUUAGGAAUUUACACUUUUUUUUAUCUCCUAAACCAUUGUUUGCUAGAACUCAUAUACCUGACUUAUAGUUCACUGACUUCACUAUUUUGAGUAGUUUUUCUGGUUGUUUACAAUUAUUCACCCUAAUCAAUGUAAAAAAAAACUUUUCCUCACAUGGAGCCAAAGGCUAACAUUUAACUGUGUGUGUGUGUGUGUGUGUGUGUGUGUGUGUGUGUGUGUGUGUGUAUUUUUAAAGAGAUCUCUAUUCCCUUUUAAUUGAUUUAAUAAUUUCUUUUCACCCAAUUUCUCUUAUCUAUCUACUUUCAUCCCCUAUUAGUUAGAUGAUAGAUAACCCAACACUUUUGGAGUUUUUCUGUUCUCUCAUGUGUUUUUCCGUGUGCUUCUUUCUCUUUUGGGAGUUGACUUCCAUUAAUGAAAUAGCAUUGAAAUUAAAACAGAAUUGUUUUAAAAAAUACCAUAUAAAUUUAUGACACAUUCAAUGCUAUUUCAGUUUCCUCAUGUGUGGAUUUUUACUGUUAAAAAAUCUUUGUGAGAUGCAAAUUAGAGUUUAUUAAAAUAUUUUAGUUUAUAAUUUAAAUAUAGAAAAUAGAGUUUAUAUGCCUCUCUAAACUUUUUCUUAAGUGUUAUUUUCAUGUUUCUUCAAAUAUGUCUUCAGUGUUGGUGACCAUUCAUAUCUGGGAAAGCUUAAUGGGAGUUAUGCAAGCAGGAUUUUUGAUGUGCCAGAAUGUAUUAUAAGAUAACCAAAAACAUAAUCAUUAUUUGGUAGGAUAUUAGAUUUAGAGAAUUAUAGCCCUUAGUUUUAGGCCCCCAGCUAGCCACUGCAUUUGCCAUCAUGACUAUUGCAUUCUGUGUGUAAUCCUUAAGAUUCUCAGUAUCAAAAAUGGCACCUUGCAAAGUCAUCUGUAGGUCUACCCAUAUAACUCUUUUCUAGGCCUCUCCAAAUUUCUCUCCUUCCCAAUUAUUUGUCCAUAAGCUAAACCACUUGGUUGCGUAUACCUAUGAUCCCAUGAUUAUAUGUGCAUUUUUACUAUGAAGACUUUUUUUUUUUUUUUUUUUUUUUUUUUUAAGGGUUGCACCUUUGCACCUUUGGCAUAUGAAAGUUCCUAGGCUAGGGGUCAUUCAAUUGGAACUGCAGCUGCUGGACUACAUGUGUGCCACAGCCACAGCAACAUGGGAUCCAGCCCUGUGUGUGACCUACAAUGCAGCUCACAGCAAUGCCAGAUGCUUAACCCACUGAGUGAGGCCAGGGAUUGAACCUAUAUCCUCAUGGAUACUAGUAGGGUUUGUAACCCACUAAGCAACAACGGGAACUUCCUGAAGAUCUUUAAACACAAAGUAUGUGACACACACUGUGCUCAAAGCAAAACAGAAUCUUUUAGGGCCAUGUAUGACUGGAACUAUAGAUUUUUUUUCCUGACCAGGAUUAUCAAUGUAAUGUCUUCCUCCUAAACAAAGGUUAAGAUUGCUCACAGGCCUUUCUAAGAUUGGUGUUUGCUAAUCUCAGCCUUCCUCAUUAUGACCAAAAAUUCCUCUAUAUUCACAAUAUCCACUUGGGCCCAUCUCUUAACUAUCCACAAGGGAUUUUGAGAGGACAGGAAUAAUUGUUGUAUACAUGAAGCUCAGAUUUCUUGCUGUGCUGCAAGUAAGAAAAUCCUUUGUCCCUGAACCAGGAGUCUUAUGUCUUCUGUCAGCAUCUAUGAAAUUGUGACAUGAUCACUCGUCAACUUCAAAUUAGGGUUGGUCCUAUCUUUAGGUCCAUUUAGCCUAUCUUUUUAAAGUAUUUCUGAUUUGUUUCCAUGUCCCUGGCCCAGAAGCAAACCUAAUCAUGCCAUUACAAUAGAGAAGAUAUUAUUUAGUUUGAAGUUAUCAAGAAAGCUUUAACAAUUCUUUAAAAUAAAUCACCUAAUGGAAUGAAGAAAGAUAAUUCAAAAAGUAUUCAAGUUUAUCAAAAAGCAUUUUUUAGUGUUAUUUAUGAGGAUAAUCAAUUUAAUGGCUGUGUAAGUACCUAUGUAAUACAUGUUUGAGGGAAAAUACAGAAAGUCAAAAGUGUUUGGACUGUAAAACACCAUAUGAAUUAUUGGAAUAGGUCAGUAACUAACUAUACUAAAUCAAGAAUCUGAAAUUACUGAAUGGCUUUUAAACGAAAGGGUUCUUUUAAUUGAACCCAUAUAGAAGAGUCACUUUAGUAUGUAGAAUUGUGGAACUUGUUAUUUUUACAGUGAACAGAAUAGUGGUGUCAAAUAUCCAAAAGAGCUCCUAAGAGUUUGGCCUAGAACUGAGUUACUGAAAAUAAGAUUCUUUGCUAAGAGACAAAUAUAGCAAUAUGAUUUAAGCAAUUAUUAAUAAAUAAUACUAAAACAAUGGCCCCCCUGAGGUUUAAAAAACAUUAUGUUUAAACAUUCAAACAAAUAAUAUGCUGAUAACUUAAAGAAAUUAAGUCAAGUUUCCACUAUGGAAACAUUUUAAAUCAAUGGUAACAAUUUCCUAUAGUUUUAAUUAAAGUAGUGAUUAAUAUCAAAUGUAUAAUUUCAGUUACUAACUAUAUGUAAAAUGAGUCACACACAUCCCCAGGUGAGUAUGAUGAUAGAAAAAUGAUUAUCAAGUGCUAAGAAUCUGUGCUAGGUGACAAUUCAACAUUGUAGAGAGCACUGGAAUUUUGCAGUAGACAAUACGGUUUUGAAUGAUGCUUACACAUUCUGUUAACUGUAUAACUUUAGACAAUUCAUUUUAAGACUUUGAGAAUUGGUGUCCUAAUAUAUAAAUUUAAAAUAAUUAAGGUUUAUGCUCCAUUAUUUUCUACCCUGUUAUCGACUAAGAUAAUGAAUACAGACUCUUCUAUACAUUUUGUUUGGGUCAUCUUUAUAGUAAAUAUUAUCUUGUAUCAUAACUGCCUCAUAUACUGCUGCUUCCUUUACUAGCUCAUGAACUGCCAGUACACAGAGACAUAAUCUCAUUCAGUUGUGUAACUUUCAAAUACCUAGCACAUACCAUGUGUAUAAUUGACUUUUUUGAUGGAUCUUAUUUUUUUAAACCAUGCUAAGGAUGUUCUCACUGAACUUUUACAGGUAGUGUAAACAUUCUGUAUAGAAUUAUUAACCUAUUCAUUACAUCAAACUGAAAAACAAAAAACAAAAAACAAAAAAAAACCACUUUAACUGUUUUUUUAACAGGUGCUAAGGAUAACGUACCCACAUUGCUUUCCAAAAAACUGAAGCUUAAAUCUUAGCUUCAUUCCUAAUUCGGUACUUCAGUUUCUUUACAGUUUUCUCAUAUGCAAAACAAGGAUGAAAUGCCUAUACUGCUGUGUUCUAGACAGGAUUAAAUUGAAAGAAAUAAAUAUGUAAAUAUUUGGAGUUCCCUGGUAGCUUAGCAAUUAAAGAUUCAGUAUUGUCUCUGCUGUGGCUUGGGUUCAAUCCCUGGCCCAGGAAAUUCCACAUGCCACG
rnacentral:lncRNA from 1 species